UACGGAGGGUGCAAACGUUUAUCCGGAAUCACUGGGCGUAAAGGGCGCGUAGGUGGCGUCGCAAGUCAACGGUGAAAGCUCGACGCUCAACGUCGAGUCGGCCGUCGAGACUGCGAGGCUUGAGCACUGUAGAGGCAGAUGGAAUUCCGGGUGUAGCGGUGGAAUGCGUAGAGAUCCGGAAGAACACCGGUGGCGAAGGCGGCCUGACUGG
rnacentral:rRNA from 1 species